AUUGAACGCUGGCGGCAUGCCUAACACAUGCAAGUCGAACGAGUGGCGGCAGGGUGAGUAAUGUCUGGGAAACUGCCUGAUGGAGGGGGAUAACUACUGGAAACGGUAGCUAAUACCGCAUAACAUCAGAUGUGCCCAGAUGGGAAUAGCUUGGUGGUGGGGUAACGGCUCACCAAGGCCAAGAUCCCUAGCUGGUCUGAGAGGAUGAACAGCCACACUGGAACUGGGACACGGUCCAGACUCCUACGGGAGGCAGCAGUGGGGAAUAUUGCACAAUGGGCGCAGGCCUGAUGCAGCCAUGCCGCGUGUAUGAAGAAGGCCUUCGGGUUGUAAAGUACGUUCAGCGGGGAGGCGUUACCCGCAGAAGAAGCACCGGCUAACUCCGUGCCAGCAGCCGCGGUAAUAC
rnacentral:rRNA from 1 species